CUUGCAGAUUAUAUUUUAUUUUAAUAUCUAGUCUUGAUAACUGUAAUCCCGUAGUCACUGAUCUCUCUGUUGUGUUGAUCUGAAAGGUUUGCCUUAUCCAGAUUUUGGUAAGCUGUUUAUUAGGACCAGGGCAGGUCAGCACUGAACUCACGUUCUGUGUUUCUUUUGAACAGCUUUCUUUUUCUAAAUGGCUAAGAUUUUGCUCAUGACCUGCAAGCACUGCACGGGACACCUUCUUUAUGCAUCUCCAUAAUCUCAUCCUGCAGCUUCUCCAGUUAUCCCUUCCUGCAGUAAUCAAAACUGAGGUUACAGUGAAGCUUUAGUCCUGAUGAUUGACAAGAAAGCAAUCUAAGGUGACCUGGCAGCUAAACAUGAGCUUUCCUAGAGGAGAAAGAAAAGAGGUAGAUGUGGAUCUGGCUUGUUCACUUCGUAGUUGAGUGCUGAGACCCAGCAAUAAACACAUUGCUGAACUGCUGACAAACCCUGUGAGCCUGAGAUUGCUUAUAAAAUCUUGGAAUUAUUGAGAGAGCUUUAGUGGAAGAAGUCUGCUUUUGUUUUUCCAAUCCAUCUCAGUUUAAAUUUCUUAGCUGUACUGCUUCCCUUUUAGAAACUCCUUAGAUGGGGUUGUUGGUAUUAUUUUUAAGCAUAAUCUCUUUGAAACUGGCUUUUGCUUGCUUCAUCUGCACUGCUUUACCUUCAGGGCACUGCUGUCUGUUCUCACAAGGUGAAUAUCUGUUUUUCACUGAUACUGUUUCCUACAGAAGACAUUAAGAAAAGCCCUGGUUUUUUCUUGCUCUUGGCUUGAGGAUCCAUGCAAAAUCUCUGGCAGUGUAUACAUGUUGCUCAAUUUAGUUUGAAAGUGAAUGUGCAUUACUAAGUAAGAUUUACAGAGUAUUUGAUUCUGACAUAAAAACAAAAUGCUUUUCAGAUGCUGUGUUUGGAAAUGGAACAUACAUUCCUGUAAUGCCACUGAAGAGAAUCAAGCAGUUUGUUAGUGUGGAUGUGGGGAGUCAUUUUAAAAACAUUACGUAACUCUUUUAGGGAGGGAAAGGAAGAAAAAUUACCCUUUUUUUAGCCUUCAGGGGAGUUUUAUAUACACAAAGUAUAAUUACUCAACUUGAAAUUUAUGCAGGAAGCUAGAAUUAACCACCUUCCUCUCACAAAAAAUACAACAGCGGGAUCAUACAACAAUCACGAGUUUCAACUUAAAAGUGAGAGACCAUGAAUGAAAAGCCAUUAUUUCAUGUGUGCUGUUGCUUAUUAUUCCCAAUUCCCUUCUGCAGGGAUCAUGUUGCUCACCCCGUGCACUCUUCCAGACCCAGAGGCAACACAAGUGUUUUUUGACUGACCUGCAGGUUCUGCUGGGGAAUUUCAGGAACCCUGUCCCUGCUCAUGGGUUCAUGUGCAACAUCACCAACAUAUGUAUGUGGGCAAAUGUCCAUGAAAUCUUACUUUUAAAACAACAAUCUUUUCAAAAUACAGAAAUACCUGAUAUAUAAUUCAGUUGUUGAACUGUUCAGAAUUUGCAUUUCUAUCCAUUUCCCCGUAGAAAAUCCAGCUCUAAUCCUGUGUUUUAACUUCAGAUGUCCGUGAAAAUAUCAACUCUACUUAUGUGCUACCUGGAAACUCCGGUUUGCAUUUUUCAACAGGUGGACGAAACGACCCAGCAAAGACAUAGCACAUUGAGAUCUCUGUAGGUAUAUAAAAGUCUGCCCCUAAUUCGUCAGAACAACCACGUCCUGCACAGAUAGUCCAUAAUCUAAGCCCAUGGAAUGCCACAGGUGGUGGGCAGCCCGUGUACCGGGAGAGGUGAGGCACUUGCACCUCUGCCUGCCCGCGGGCUGUAGCCGGCAGACAUGGCUGUGCAGCACAGCCUUUUAAGGGAGAACAAUCUAUUCUGCCUUUGUCUUCUUCACUAAAUAGGGUCCUGCAGACAGCGACGCGCUCGCUAACUGGAUUUUCACUUCUCCUUGCAGUGCCUGAUGAGGAAAAUCCCCCUGCUCCCACCAUGUAUUGGAGUAUCGGCUCCAGAUAAUAUUUUCUGUGCAUAGUAACUUCCACAGUCUGAGGGAACCUUGUCGGCACGGCGUGAAUUUGUCCACCUUUAAUCAGCGUUCCGGCAGGAGAAAGGCUUCCCACCCCCGUGCAUGGGUUGGUGUGCCGCUGCUGCCGCUCGGCGAAUGGUUUGCUCUCUCCCCAGCUCAGCCAGCACUGCAUCAGAUUGUUUAGGAAGUCCGCGGGGCUGCCGGGUACCAGGAUAAAGUUCUUGGAAAGGCGUCAUUGCAAGAAGACUGACCGUGCACACAGAAACCAUAGUUACAGCCAGUCACUGAUUCGUUUCCUCCUUGAGUGCCAUAAAACAUUUUCAAGAAAUGGAAGGAGAUCAAGGGCAAAGUGCUAAAGCUACCGGUACAGUGGGUGACCUGAGGAAAAGUUGGCAGACCUGGGCGGAGGAUCACAUUGAGUAUCAGAGGAAGAAUCCGUUCAGCAGCGAUGACAGGCUUGCGCCUAAACCUGCGCAUACUCACAGAGGAGAUCCUACCUAUGGGAGACCCCCUGAAGGGUCUCGGACAGAGCAGAGAGGGAAAGAUGCUCACUCACAUGUAGGUAAAGAAGUAGAAGAGCUAUGCCUGAUCAUCAGAAGAACUGGAGAGGUGGGAGAAGAUGGACACGUGAGUGUGACAUUUGGGCAGCUGUUUGAAACAUAUGUGACUAUUUCCAAUAAAGUAGUGGGAAUCUUGUUAAGAGCCAGAAAACAUGGUCUGGUUCAUUUUGAAGGUGAAAUGCUUUGGCAAGGAAAAGAUGAUGAUGUGGUCAUCACUUUACUACAAUAAGGCUUUGUCCUGGAAUGAACUUAGCUGCAUGGUUCCAUUUGGAGAAACAGAUCUAGAUACCAUCUUCACAGGUUUUGAUUACAGAAUUUCAACUCAGCUACCUACUGAGAUGCAGGAGAGGAAAUGGGCGAGAAGGAUAAAGCAUAUUUUUGUAAAAGUGGUAGAGAUUUGGACAGAAAUCACAUCUUAGGAGCUAAUCCAUCACACAGACAUUGGAUUGUCUUUAUUAUCAUCUACUACCAGGUAUAUGACAGUUUUUGAAAUAACUCUGCUAGCUUACUGCUUUUAGGUUACUGAAAGUAUAAAUUACUAACUUGCUAUCCUACAACAUCGAUUCUUGCAUGUUGUGAAAUACUUACUGCAUAGGAGACUGGGAUUUGUAAAACGUGGAAUUGAAAACUCUUGUGGGAAUUCAUAGACUUCUUCAAACAAAGAGCCUGGUAUAUAGCAAAAGUUAAGGUUCAAUUAAACAUGGUUAAAAUGAAUAAAUAGAAGUUAUUUUCAUGAAGUAGAUGGAAAUUCCCAAACUUACAAAAAUAACACAACAAGGAUACUUGAUGGUUCCUAAAUUAGUUGCAUCUUGUUUGUGUUUUGGACAGCUGCACUAGUUCUGGUAUUUAAUAGUCUAAUCUUACAAUCUUCUCCAAACCUUUUGAGUGUCUUGUUCUUUUUCUUCUCUAUCUCACACCAUUUUUACCUGUUCUGUUCUUCUGACACUUUAGAAGAAGUCAACAAAGCUCUUCAGCCUUUUUUGGUGAAUUCAGCUAUACCCCUUCAUAGAAGGUAGGAUGCCACAACGUAAAGAUGCAAAAGUCAACAGAAACUCUGUAUUGGGGCACCUGUGCAUUCAUUAGGAAAAAAAAAAAAAGGCUCUUCUUUCACCAAAAUGUAGCAAUGUUUUUUACAAGAGGAGAGCAGAGAUAGUGUAGUGCCAGAUGCAUAAAUAAAAGUCUAGCGGCACAGUCCCAUACCUCGUUUAUCUGCUUUCAGAGCAUAGUUGUGAGCUCUCCUGACUGUUUAAAAGAAAAAUAAAGGAUUGGGUAAAAAAUAGUUGUAAUAGUGCUAUAAAAAUAAUCAGGAGCUGUAUUUACAAGAGUUCCCACCAACAAAGCUGCGUAACUUGAAAUUUAAAGUUCUAUUUUUUUAUCAGUACAAAUAAAAGCUUCUGUGUGGUGCUAACUACACUACUUGAUGGGUCUUUAAAGUAUAAUACUUUCCUGCAUCAAAAGGAUAUUAAAAUUUAAUAUAAAUUAAGAUUGAUAAAAGUGAUGUGUAAUUUUAUGCUAUUUAUAUAAAAUAACUCCUAUUGCAAAAAGCCUAAAAGAAUGGGGUUCUGUUUUGAUAUUUUCAUCCAAUGGGGAUUUGCAUCAAACUAAGUCUUUUGACUGAAGGAUUUCAUUAUUACUCUGCCUCCUUUUUUUUCUGGUGAAAAGACAAUGAAAAUAGAAAAAAAAGAAAUUAAUGUGCUGAAAUAAGUGUAUCUGGGGAACAGGGGAGUCGUAGAGAAUGGGUUUUAAUUACCAUAUAAUUUUACCACAUUGGAAAAGGGGGAAUAUGUGCUGCACCAGGCACUGCUGCUGUGUUCCCUUAGGUUUCAAACCCACCGCUUCUUUCCAAAUCUACAUCUUGCAGCUGAAAACAAGACAUGUCGUUUGUGAUCUUAACAUAUUUAAGAUGCUUUGUUCUUUUUGGAAAAGCACUUCUUGCCAAAUGACAUGGGCACACCUCAGGGUAUUUCAGCUCCCGUUAGAGGAAUCUUUACAUCUAUUUGGAUUUCAAAACAAAUUGAGCUUUUUAUAGUGCAGCCAUCGAAUUAGUUUUGUUUAACAGUUCUGAAAUCCACUCAGUUCUGCUGAAGUGUUAGCUCAUAACUUGCAGGAAUCAGCAUUAGGCACUUCAAGUGUCACCAGCUGAUUAACGGGAUGGCAGUAUCAGGAAAAAUAAUACAUUGCUAGACAUUGUACAAAUAAUUCAUUCUAAGACACACAUGUGAGGCAGUAUGUCGCCUGAGCACCAUAAGAUGCAAGCCCAGCCCAUGCAAAUUUACUAGAUUUUAAUUAAGGCUGGCUCAAACAAUUAAAUAUCAGUAAUCUAGGCUCUCACUGCCAUGUAAGUGGUAGAUGCUUGAGUACAUCUACAAGCAGUUUAAGUAUACCUCUGAUCAAAACAGAAGCAGAGCAAGCCCUUAAUGACAUGGUCUCACCUACUUUGUAAGCAACUAAAAGAAGUUUGCUCUAUUGUAUUUUUAAUAGAACCAAGGAUUACUAUAUAACGAAACUAUUAUUUAUAGAGGGAUUUUUUGUUUUUAAAUAGUUACAGAGCCAUGUUUCCUGCCUGCCAGCUUUAGAUGAGCAUUCUGGAAAGAGUGACUGAAACCUUUCUGUGUGCCCAUGCAAUGAUUAUAAACACCGAGCUGCCAAACUGGCUCAGCACACAGGUUGACAAAUCCAGUCUCGUGCUUCCAGCAACAGCCAGUAUUGAAAACAAAAAGGACUAAAAGAGAGAUAAUAGAGCUGGUCAGCUUGCCCACUGGUACACUCCAGAAUAAAAAAAUUACUCCUGAAGUCUGUAUAGUCAUGAAUGCAUCGUAUCUAAUGCACAUGACUCAGUUUAGCUACGAGUUUUACACAAUUAUGCUUCUUCAUCUGUGAUGUGAUUUGAUUAACAUCUACCAAGGAAACAGGAAUUUAAACUUCUCAACAUGCAACCUUUAUUUUCAGCAGGCUCCCCUUAGAGUAAAUAGAACAGAAUUCAUUAAAUUAUUUUUGCAGAAAUAGUAGCAUGUGAGGGGUUUUAGUAUUACAGAUUAUUUGGAGCAGUAAGUAAAUGCCAACCUUCUAAAAGGUGUUCUUGCCCUGCUAAGUACCUUUCAGCUCUUUAAAUCUCUCCUAAACUUCACUUUGUGACAGAUUCCCUCAGUGACCUUUCCUUCCACUUGAAGCCUGUAAACUCUGCAUCUGUUUUGGACUGUACGUCAUAUAGGAAUUAGCUGUGGUUUGUCUUGUCAAACACUGAAGGUACUUUCACCAUUUCAAUAAAUGUUGCACAGUAGUUUGAAAUGA